GGACCGGCACCGCGCGUGCGUAGAGCUGUCAGCCGCACCCACGCCGCGCUUCCAGUAAAGUUGCAAAGCAACGGGCAGACCUGUCAGAACGGUGAAGAUCCCGGCGAUGGAAGAAAGGCGAAACUGCUCCGCGUGGGCUGCCCGGAGUGGCAUCGCGCCUUGUUCGAGUCCGAAGAAGUUCCCGCUUCUCUAAGCCGGCUGAAGGGAUGCGAGUCUCCUCCUCUUGUCCCAACGGGACUGCGUCCUGACACCGAGUGGACUCCGCCCCAAGAGUGCGAGCGUCCUGAGCGUUCAGGGCAUCCUGAGCGGCGGAAGGCAUCCGGCCACACCCCGCUCUUUACCCGCCAACGCCAGCCCAGGUGGCCAGCCUCAGAAUGGACUGUGAGCCUGUGUGUUAUGCAUCUCUGGUUGUAGAGACAAAAGGACAAAGAUGGAACCCACCAAGGAUGCUCCCGGAUGAAUGAAUUGUUGUUCUCUGGCUUACACAAAGUCAAGCGAAUGAUCUUCCCAUGUUAUGUAAUAUAGCAACGGCCUGCUUACCUUACUCCUUUAAUCUACGUUAUUCUGGAAAGUAACACUUGAAACAAAAAGUAGAUACAUUCUACUGGGAAUGUGACCCUCAGAGAAGGAAAGAAAGACCGAGGGGUUGAACCUGAACACGUGAAAGAGAAUCCAAGACUUUCCCUAAGAGACUCUUUUCUGUUCUCGUGAUGCACUGAUGACAGAAAUCAUAUGACUAAUGGAGAAAAACUGGUAGAUAUACAAGAAGAACUGCACUGGGAUAACCGCCAUCUUACAAAUGUACGCAUCCAGGCCUAUUCUGCCCUUGGACCACAUUGUACGUUUAGUGUUUCGGAAGAGAGAAAUCAUCAAAGGCGCACCCAAAGAAACAUCCAAAUGAAAGCUCAGUGGCGUUUGCUUUUCCCAAGGACCAGCAUCAUGGUUUCAGAGUUAACACACUGGAGAAAUACCUAGCCCUCCAUGUCACUCCCUACAUCCUCAACACUCACUCAGAGAGGGGCAUUGAAGAAAGGAUCACCAGUGAGUAGUACUUCUCAAAGAGAAAGCAGAAGAGUUUAUUGCUGCUGAAAGUCUCUGAAUAAAUCCAUGCUCCAAAUCACAACCCAAAAAAGCUCCAGAAAGGAUGCACAUGGUCUAAAAAAUGGAGAGACUGGUGUCCUAUGCCCUGUCUUGUUACCCUGAGACAUGAUGUUGGGUAGAGUUGGUCUAGGUACAGUAUUAUUGAAUUUGCAGGUGCCUAAGUAUAGGGGUCUCACACUGCCAUAUACAGUCAUUCUAGUGUUGGGAGACAAGAAAAUCUGUUUUCAGUGCAGCUGAGAACAUUGGAAAAAUAAUUGCAAUGGCCUGCAGACCUCAGGGACUCUCUGGAGAAAUACAGUGUGACCUCUGAAAAUGCUUUAGAUUCUGUCAAAUAUCAAGAUGCAGAUCCAUAUCAGUGAUUACCAAAAAGGCCAGUAUUCAUUGUUCUUGAAGCUAGUCACAGAUAGACACCAAUCAAGAGUCAAAUGCUGUAUCCUCUAACCAUUUAGAGCUUGGAUGCAGCCCUGAGUGUAAAGGAAGUACUGUGGACCCCUUCGCCACACGAAGGUCAUAUGUUCAAAUCUCACCCCUCCCAAAGGAGGCUGGGACUUCCAGGAGUGAACAGAACAUAUUCCCUUAUUAAAAAGGCUCAAGGGAGCUCACUUACCCUUCUGUCAAGUGACAACAGACAGCUGCUGUGAGUAAUUAAGUGUGUUCUAGCCACAGACCCUGCCAGUGCCUUGAUCUUGAAUUUUCUAGCCUGCAGAAGUAUGAGAUGUUUCUGUUAUGUAUAAUUUACUCAAUAUAUAGUAGGUGUUCUGUUAACUUAUUUUAAAACGCAAUGCCUGUAUUUAUCUUGAAAAUAAAGGACUUUAUGUGUGUGUGUGUGUGUGUGUGUGUGUGUGUGUGUGUGUUCACAUACAUAGCAUAGACAACAUGUAAGAACUGUGUUCAGUUUUGGAAAAAAUAAAGCCACUUUGCCAUACA
ensembl:lincRNA